AACAUGAUUAGUCAACAAAAAUUAACUAGGAUUAAUAAAUAAAUUAUUAUAAAAAAUAUCAGCAGCAUAAUUGGCAAGAUUAACAUAUAGUGGGCCAUGGGUAUGCAAUGGAUUGGGGGUAUGAAUCACAAGGACGCUUGGGCCAUGCAUCUGUUUGGGCAAAAAUCCCAAUUUCUUAACAUCCAAACCCGGGUUCCAUGACCGUGAACUAGCGGAUCCGAAUCCACAUGAACCUCCAAGGAAACUCAACGCCCCAAAUUCGAAAAUGCUCAGGUCAAACGCGGAAAAAUGACUCACCAUCGGCGCCGGAAAAUCUCCCUCGGUGGCCACGCGAAACUCAAUCUUGCUUCUGCGUUGCGCUUCUGUUUGUUCUUCAAUUUUGUGUUAUCGUCGUUGCUUGGCUUCCGUUUCGAAUUGUGGUUGAAUUGCAUUGCGUCGUUGUUGUUGAAUUCAGAUGAAAAGUUCUGUUGAUUGUUGAGUUCUUUCUAUGAAGAUGUGAAGAGAAUCCCUUUCGAGCUUUUCUGGUGAAUCCCAAGUGAUAAAGGUGAAGCCCCCCUCAAAAUGCCGUUAAUGGUUUUCAUUGGUUUUGUUCAUAUUAUGCCGGAAGUAUGUGAGUUUGGCUUGCUUGUGGGGUUUGGAUUCACUUGGAAUUGGCUUUCGAAUGCAUGAGCUAUGGAGCAAGCCUUGGUUAUUUGAAUCUGCUUGUGGUUUGGCAUGGCUGCUUGAUGGAAUCUUGAUCAUUGGAUAUGGUUGUUGACUUGUUUAUGUAUUAGAAGGAAUUUGGAAAUUGGAUGUAUAGUUGUAAUGAAUUUGUAAUUGGAAAUGUAUGGCUGUAAUUAUGUAAAGUCCUAUGUUGUAACUUUGGAAUAGAAUGAAUUUGUUGAUGUAUGAAAUGAUUAUUUAUUAUUUUUUUUUGUAUGAAACAUGGUUGAGUUGGAAAUUGAAUAAAUUUUGAAUGAAUGAAAUUUUAUGGUUA